GUUGGGUUUAUUGAUUAAGUUUCAUCAUAGGCUUCUUAUUGAAAUAGAAGCUGAGUUCACAUGUCUCCUUGUUUCUCGUCAAUAGUCUUUGAUUCGUUUUUUUCACUCAGCUGUAUGACUUGUUAAUCUUUUCCGUUGGAUGAUGCUGGAUAAGAGUCUUUUAGAUCCAUCACCAGAUCAUAUUAAAGAGGAGCAGCUGGAGCUUUACUGGUUUAUGACAUCACCAGGAGAGAGACAUUUAACCAUCUGGCAAGUUGGUUGGAGGAUGCUCGGCAACAUGCAAAUCCUAAUAUGAGUAUUAUGCUAAUUGGGAACAAAUGCGAUCUUGCUCACAAGAGAGCUGUUAGCAAAUAGGAAGGAGAACAGUUUGCCAAGGAACACGGCCUGCUAUUCUUAGAAGCAUCUGCAUUUAACCAUCUGUGUUACAAUGUGAUCUAAUUCCCUUAAUCUCUCUGGAUUUUGCAGUCAUCGGGCAUUAAGGUUGGCUACAUGCGUACUCAAGGUGCAGCAGGAGGCAGGGAUGGUGCAAUUUCUCAGGGAGGUGGCUGUUGUGGUUAAAAAGUCCUUAGGACACAUAUCUGCUAUAAUCUGGUGAUCCAGAAACUACUAUUGUUUUUAUACCAUAGUGUCUUGAGCAAUCUUCAUUCCAUUCUCGGUGUAUAAUGUCAUAGCCCCCUCUAUAAGUGUAUGUACAAGCAAAAAGAAAUAUAUUGACAUCUUUAGCAUAUACAGGUCGCAUAGAUAUGUUGAACCAAGUAUCUUUAGCAUAUACAGAUCGCAUAGAAUCAUAA